rnacentral:rRNA from 1 species
GAGUUUGAUCAUGGCUCAGGAUUAACGCUGGCGGCAUGCCUAAUACAUGCAAGUCGAACGGAGUAGCAAUACUUAGUGGCGAACGGGUGAGUAACACGUAUCUAAUCUACCAUUUAGUGGGGAAUAACUGUUGGAAACGACAGCUAAUACCGCAUAAUAUUGCUGGAUAAUCUCCAGUAAUGAAAGGAGCUUUCAAGCUCCGCUGAUUGAUGAGGAUGCGGCGCAUUAGCUAGUUGGUAGGGUAAUGGCCUACCAAGGCAAUGAUGCGUAGCCGAUCUGAGAGGAUGAACGGCCACAUUGGGACUGAGACACGGCCCAAACUUCUACGGAAGGCAGCAGUAGGGAAUUUUUCACAAUGGGCGAAAGCCUGAUGGAGCAAUGCCGCGUGACUGAUGAAGGUCUUCGGAUUGUAAAGGUCUGUUGUAAGGGAAGAAAUGGUAAAACAGGAAAUGGUUUUAUCUAUGACGGUACCUUACCAGAAAGCCACGGCUAACUAUGUGCCAGCAGCCGCGGUAAUACAUAGGUGGCAAGCGUUAUCCGGAUUUAUUGGGCGUAAAGGGUGCGUGGACGGUUUUGCAAGUCUGAGGUUAAAUUUAGGAGCUCAACUCCUAAUCGCCUUGGAAACUACAAGACUAGAGUAUAGGAGAGGUUAGUGGAAUUCCAUGUGUAGCGGUGGAAUGUGUAGAUAUAUGGAGGAACACCAGUGGCGAAGGC